rnacentral:lncRNA from 1 species
CCUUCGAGGACCAGUGUGCGAGUACUCGCUUUGUGUUGGUCUUCUCUGUGCAUCAGUAUCUCGGCUUUUGUGGUAUGUUGUCUCAGGCCCGUGGUCCUCUGUGUAUCUCUUGCCUUGCUGGCUGCGUGGGGCCCUGGCUUUUGUUGAGUGUGUAGAGGAGCCCCCUGAGUAGAGCCCCUGCCCCCGGUGGUGUUUUCUUUUUGCUCUUGUUUUGGCGGUCAAGAGGGACGAGAGCGUGUGAAUAGGCAG